CUCUCUUCUCUCUCAUCGGACUAGGGGAACAGGCCUGCGUCUCCUCCCUCUGAACUGCCAACUACUAACCCCCACCAUACCCAUUGUCUCCACACCACCUCCCACGCCCCCUGAAGACUCAGACCCAAAACAGAUCUGUAAAGCAUGUGCGUGUGACCAUGGGAACCCGGGAGUCCUGUCUCCUCUUCAUCCACAGAAAUUUCCACAGAAGCCCCACGGAUUCCCAUUUCAGAGUCUUCGACAUGUUGCCAUAAAUUGUCUUCUGAGGAGGAAGCCAGAUCUCAAGUUCUAGCAGUGAAGCUUCAGAGAA
rnacentral:lncRNA from 1 species